ACUCCUAAGGGAGGCAGCAGUGGGGAAUAUUGCACAAUGGGCGCAAGCCUGAUGCAGCCAUGCCGCGUGUAUGAAGAAGGCCUUCGGGUUGUAAAGUACUUUCAGCGAGGAGGAAGGCAUUAAGGUUAAUAACCUUAGUGAUUGACGUUACUCGCAGAAGAAGCACCGGCUAACUCCGUGCCAGCAGCCGCGGUAAUA
rnacentral:rRNA from 1 species